rnacentral:rRNA from 1 species
UGGGGAAUAUUGGACAAUGGGCGCAAGCCUGAUCCAGCAAUGCCGCGUGUGUGAAGAAGGCCUUCGGGUUGUAAAGCACUUUUAUCUGGAGCGAAAUCUGCAGGGCUAAUACCCAUGCAGUCUGACGGUACCAUAGGAAUAAGCACCGGCUAACUUCGUGCCAGCAGCCGCGGUAAUACGAAGGGUGCAAGCGUUACUCGGAAUUACUGGGCGUAAAGCGUGCGUAGGUGGUGGUUUCAGUCAGAUGUGAAGGCCCUGGGCUCAACCUGGGAACUGCAUUUGAUACUGGAUCACUAGAGUGCGGUAGAGGGUAGUGGAAUUCCCGGUGUAGCAGUGAAAUGCGUAGAUAUGCGGAGGAACACCGAUGGCGAAGGCAAUCCCCUGGGCCUGCACUGACGCUCAUGCGCGAAAGCGUGGGGAGCAAACA